CUCACUUCUUCGGCUGUUUGACAACAUGACGCUUGAUGACAGUCACAACAACAUCACGCUAAACUGCAGAUUAUUUGCUUGUUAAAGCUCUAAAUGUCACUAAACCGCACAUAUUUCAGCUCAGCUGCAAACGAAACCAACACACUGUGGGAUAAAACGCUGGAAUCGAGUGUCAUGCGACUCACCUAGUAAGGGAUGUGCUGUGGAUUGUAAAGCAGCGCUCUGGGACGUGUGGACAGACAGUGACUGUAAUGAUGCUCAUCUGCUCGUGGACAGUCUGUCUAAAAGCAUAACCCCUGCUGGUCACGGCGCCGGACGCUCCAGAGGGAGACCGUACUGGUAUCCCCCUUCUUCAGGCACGCCUUCACACUCACUCCAGCAUUCACACAUAUCACAGAGACCCGGCUGGGAUCGAACCAGCAACCUCUGAACCCGUGAGGCAGCGCUCUUACCAGUGAGCCACAGGUCUCUUGUGGAGAUGUGUGAAGGAACCUCUGUUUGACUCUUUACCUGUAUGUGACCUGUGUUUUUCUCCAAUAAAGCAGUUAAAGUGUGUGGGAUCUGAACCCGUGUCUCCAUCACAGCCGCGUCUUCAGAAACGUGUGUUUAUCCACUGAACCAGCA
rnacentral:tRNA from 1 species